rnacentral:rRNA from 1 species
GACGAACGCUGGCGGCGUGCUUAACACAUGCAAGUCGAACGGAAAGGCCCUGCUUUUGUGGGGUGCUCGAGUGGCGAACGGGUGAGUAACACGUGAGUAACCUGCCCUUGACUUUGGGAUAACUUCAGGAAACUGGGGCUAAUACCGGAUAGGAGCUCCUGCUGCAUGGUGGGGGUUGGAAAGUUUCGGCGGUUGGGGAUGGACUCGCGGCUUAUCAGCUUGUUGGUGGGGUAGUGGCUUACCAAGGCUUUGACGGGUAGCCGGCCUGAGAGGGUGACCGGCCACAUUGGGACUGAGAUACGGCCCAGACUCCUACGGGAGGCAGCAGUGGGGAAUAUUGCACAAUGGGCGGAAGCCUGAUGCAGCAACGCCGCGUGCGGGAUGACGGCCUUCGGGUUGUAAACCGCUUUCGCCUGUGACGAAGCGUGAGUGACGGUAAUGGGUAAAGAAGCACCGGCUAACUACGUGCCAGCAGCCGCGGUGAUACGUAGGGUGCGAGCGUUGUCCGGAUUUAUUGGGCGUAAAGGGCUCGUAGGUGGUUGAUCGCGUCGGAAGUGUAAUCUUGGGGCUUAACCCUGAGCGUGCUUUCGAUACGGGUUGACUUGAGGAAGGUAGGGGAGAAUGGAAUUCCUGGUGGAGCGGUGGAAUGCGCAGAUAUCAGGAGGAACACCAGUGGCGAAGGCGGUUCUCUGGGCCUUUCCUGACGCUGAGGAGCGAAAGCGUGGGGAGCGAACAGGCUUAGAUACCCUGGUAGUCCACGCUGUAAACGGUGGGUACUAGGUGUGGGGUCCAUUCCACGGGUUCCGUGCCGUAGCUAACGCUUUAAGUACCCCGCCUGGGGAGUACGGCCGCAAGGCUAAAACUCAAAGGAAUUGACGGGGCCCCGCACAAGCGGCGGAGCAUGCGGAUUAAUUCGAUGCAACGCGUAGAACCUUACCUGGGUUUGACAUGGAUCGGGAGUGCUCAGAGAUGGGUGUGCCUCUUUUGGGGUCGGUUCACAGGUGGUGCAUGCCUGUCGUCAGCUCGUGUCGUGAGAUGUUGGGUUAAGUCCCGCAACGAGCGCAACCCUUGUUCACUGUUGCCAGCACGUUAUGGUGGGGACUCAGUGGAGACCGCCGGGGUCAACUCGGAGGAAGGUGGGGAUGACGUCAAGUCGUCAUGCCCCUUAUGUCCAGGGCUUCACGCAUGCUACAAUGGCUGGUACAGAGAGUGGCGAGCCUGUGAGGGUGAGCGAAUCUCGGAAAGCCGGUCUCAGUUCGGAUUGGGGUCUGCAACUCGACCUCAUGAAGUCGGAGUCGCUAGUAAUCGCAGAUCAGCAACGCUGCGGUGAAUACGUUCCCGGG